AGUGAACGCUGGCGGUAGGCCUAACACAUGCAAGUCGAACGGCAGCACAGUAAGAGCUUGCUCUUACGGGUGGCGAGUGGCGGACGGGUGAGGAAUACAUCGGAAUCUACUUUUUCGUGGGGGUUAACGUAGGGAAACUUACGCUAAUACCGCAUACGACCUACGGGUGAAAGCAGUGGAUCUUCGGACCUUGCGCGAUUGAAUGAGCCGAUGUCGGAUUAGCUAGUUGGCGGGGUAAAGGCCCACCAAGGCGACGAUCCGUAGCUGGUCUGAGAGGAUGAUCAGCCACACUGGAACUGGGACACGGUCCAGACUCCUACGGGAGGCAGCAGUGGGGAAUAUUGGACAAUGGGCGCAAGCCUGAUACAGCCAUACCGCGUGGGUGAAGAAGGCCUUCGGGUUGUAAAGCCCUUUUGUUGGGAAAGAAAAGCAGCAGGUUAAUACCCCGCUGUUCUGACGGUACCCAAAGAAUAAGCACCGGCUAACUUCGUG
rnacentral:rRNA from 1 species